rnacentral:misc_RNA from 1 species
GGGGAUGUCAACAUCAUUGGACAAAAUUUCAUGACUGGCUAUCACGUAAUAUUUGAUCGGGAGAAGAUGGUUUUGGGUUGGAAAGCCUCUGAUUGUUAUGAUUCUGGAGAAUCAAACGAUAGAUCAACAACUCUGCCCGUGAACAAGCGCAAUUCUACCGAAGCGCCUUCGCCUGCCAGUGUGGUGCCCGAGGCCACCAAGGGAAAUGCAAGUGCAAAUGAACCCGCUACAUCGUUCCCAUCUGUUCCAUCAUCUAGACCUGCAGGAAACCAUGCACCACAUUUGAAUUCCUUCUAUUACCAACUUAUGAUGGCUAUAUUUUCCUUUUUCAACUAUUAUUUGAUUAUUAUUUCUUCUUGAGGCUUUUAUUUGUCCUCUGUAUAAUAUUGAGUUCUGU